CUGCAUCAGCAGCAGCUCCCCGUACAGCCUGGGGGCGGAGCUUGGGCCUGUGAGUGACAGACUCGGGCCCUAAGUGAAGGAGAGACUGGAGGGGAGGGGCUGCUACCACACUGCCUGCACGGAUCUCAGAUUUGACCUAUGAGAACUGCUAGAUUAACAAAGGAGACAUAGGAGUGUCUCAGUACUGUGAGAUCUAUUUUAAGCCGAGUUGAAUGAUUUCAGGUUGACAUCAUUGUCUUACAAUUGAUCAAUUGGAGUGAAUAACACAAGACAACUCAACUGUUUGUGUAUCAGGAGGAAGCAGUGUUCUGGAAGCUGGUCCUGGCAGCACAGCCACUAUAUACAUCAAGAUGCUGUCCAUCUACCAUGAACUGGGCCAGGGCAACUUUGGGAAGGUCCUGCUGUACUCUUUGACUGGUCAGCAACUGGCAGUCAAGAUCAAGCGGAAGAGAGACCUGCUGCUGUAGGAGAGUAAGGAAGUGUUGGUGGACGACCGAGUGUUGCAUCUCGUAGCGCCUUCCUUAACCACAUAGCUUGCCUUCCAGGCCACGGUACAGUGUGUUUUUUAUUACAGAAUCAUCACUUGGAACUAUUUAUUUAUUUGUACACAUGUAACUUAAAUGCAGGUUUCAUGUGUUCUUGGUUCAUAAUGUUACUAUGAGCAAGUAUGCACACUUGCGUUGUUGCCAUGUUCUAAUAAAAUGUAUUACUAUUG